rnacentral:lncRNA from 1 species
AUGCUCCCAAAUGUAUGCAAUACAAUUUGGUUUAUCAUAGUGUCUGAAGGUUACCUAUGUGUUGUGACUGCAGAAGGUGUCACCCCAAAGGAGAUUCAUCAGAGAAUACAAGCUGUUUAUGGUGAUUGUGUUGAUGUGAGUACUGUGUGUCGUUGGGCGAGUAAGUUUAAAGAUGUUGAGGUGGGAACAUCUGACUUGCGUGACAAACAAAGAGUUGAACGACUUGUGACAGCAACCAUCGAGUUUCACAAGCAAAAGUUUGACAGAUUGAUUCAGGAUGAUCGUCGUAUCACAGAGAGAAAUGUCAAGCAUAAUCGGCAUUUCACAAGAACGUGUGGGUCACAUUAUUGCUUUGCUUGGCUAUAGGAAGAUCUGUGCACGAUGGGUAGUGUGAGACGCUGGUUGCAGAAACAGAGUGUCAACUUCUUCCGUGACAGCUAUAUCAUUGGCAGAAAUGUAUCCAAUUGUCUGGUGAUUAUGUGGGAAAGUGAAUAGUGGUAGUUAAAGAGCACAUUCUAAGGAUUAUUUCUGUGUUUGAUUUAAUAAUAAUAAAUAAUAAUAUAACUUUAUUUUUAUACCCCGCCCCAUCUCCCCGAAGGGACUCAGGGCGGCUUACAUGGGGCCUGGCCCAAUAAAACAAACAAAUAACAGUAACAAAGCAAUAAAACAAUUAUCCCAGAAAAAACAUCAACAUCAAUAAAAACAAUCAUUAAAAUCAACAAGCAGGAUACAGUAUUAAAAACAGGAGACUAAGUCGUAGAUCCCAGGCAAAGUGCAGAGUAUUACGAAAUGGGGAAAGGAAAUUUCAUAGUUGAAAGGACAAUAAAGUGCGGUAUGAAAUGACAAGACAACAACAAUUUAUUAAAAUAUUCCCACCCAAACCCAAGUAACGAAGGUGGAGGCAUUACUUUUCAUUCAACCCUCAUAAUAAUAAUAAUAAUAACAAAAACAACUUUAUUUUUGUACCCUGCCUCCAUCUUCCCGGAGGGACUCAGGGCGGCUAACAUGGGGCCAAGACCAAACAAUUACAAUAAAUCAAAAUAAAAUACAUCCAAGACACAGCACAACAUCCAGUAAAAACACUUAUACAAUAACAUAGUAAAACAAAACCUAAUAACAGUAACAUAAUAAAACAAAGCAUGAAAACAGUACAAAAUUUAAACGAUGGUGAGCUCUGGUGGUUCCCAAACUUUGGACCUCUACAUGCUUUUUCUCAAUAAGAACGUGGUCCUCAAUAGCAGGCGUCCUUGCCUUCCCUUUAUACCUCAUGCAUAUUUCUUUAUACACGUUAUGUUUCCUAUUUACGCCUUUCCUGAUUUAUUAAAAAUAAUGUGUAUAAUUAAGACCCCUUCUGGUCCACUGAAUAAAUACAGUGGUACUUAAUUAUCUGGAGUACUUACACUUAAAUGACUUAUUUUCACCUCAAGUCAUUUUCUCGUAUCUUAUAUACUUUGCUGGUUAUUCCUUUUCAAACUCUUAAACUUUCAAGGGACUAUUAGAAAUAUGGAAGGUUUGUUUGCUUGUGUGUUGGUUGUGAGUUGCGCUGCUUUGUCUCGAUGUGAGUUGUGUCUGCAGCCCGGAUCGGAAGGGAUGUUUGAUUUCGGUGACGAUUUGGGACAGAAGGCAUUUAAGCACUUGCCAUGGUUGUGAUAUUAAAUGGCAGCUGGAUUGCUCGGGAAGAACUCCCUGCUCUCUGGCAGGAAAUGGAGGAGACGAUUUAUUUUCAUUUAAGCACACUGCUACAAAUCUGACUUUAAUAUGAUUCACAAAUGUUCGGCUAAAGCUUUUCUUCUCCCAGCCAUGCUCCCCUAUAAUUCCAUAUUGUUGAUGAGAAUGGACAGUGACAAAUGGCGACUGAUCCUACGUUUUCUUUUUCCAUUUGUUCUUGGAUUUCAUGCGUCUUCACUUUCAUCGCCUUGUCUUUUGGGUCACCGUUUCUUCACAGUGCUUUAAAAUGGGGCUGAAAGAGUUUUAAACUACAUUUAUUUGAUUUUUUAAAAUCCUAGUACUGGACUCCAGGCUGUUAUUUUUAUUUCAUUUUGGCAAUUUGCUUCUCCUGUUGUUUUUAUAAUGAUUUAAUCAGUUAUAUUGUAUUUUUUUAUGCGUUGCCAGCUGCCUUGCGAGAGUUUGGCUCUAAAUGACAACCUAAAAUUAUCUUUAAAAAUAAAGAGCAUUGAUAAAGUAAUAAAAAGCAUUAUCUGUAAGCUCAGAUAUAAACUUCCUGGAUGGCUUUCUGUGCUUUACCAAUCUUAAUGUGGGGAUAGUAAUACUAUCCUGUAAUAUAUAAUGGAAACAGCGCUCGAAUUAGUAGGGAGAGGGAAGCAAAGCGAUAUCCGACUCUUUCCAGUUUUACAAAACCAGAGAAUAUUGACUGUAAAUGCAACAAAUGCAAAGAACUAAGGAGAAAGUAUGGAAAUGCAACAGAGUCAUGAUAAAAACCUUCAUUAAUAUCUGUCAUUUUGCAAAAACAUUUGCAAAAAACAUGACCAAAUCACACACAACUUCCUAGUAGUCUUUUUUAAAAACAGUAGCUUUGGGAAUCAUUGCAAAAAGUAUGAUGCUGUCUUAGAUUGAAUCAGGGCAUUGGGAAUUUACUUCGAUAUCAUCUAUACCAGUGGUAGACUUUGAUGAGUAAAUGACAAAGUUGACAUGGCCUGAUUUAAGGAUGAAGUAUGAGGAUCUCGGAU